CGCUCACCCGCCGCCCCGCCCUUCCCACUCGCCGUGGCGGUCCCUCCUCGUUGCCACCCCUUUCCUCGACUCGGCAGCCUCUUCUCCAUGCCGUCGCCGCCCCAUCCUCUUCCGUGUCCCUCACGGCCGCCUUGCCCCCUCCACCUUCAGCACCUCCUCCUCCCCUGCCUCCGGAUCCAAACCAGUGAGACCUGGAGGGGAGCAGCUGCUGCGGCGUCGAUCUAGAGAAGGGGAGCACGAUCUAGAGAAGGGGAGCAGCAUCGCCGCAGCCUUGCGCAGCUCCUCGCCCAUCCUCUCUCGUUCCCUGCUCUCGUUCCCCACGCUCGCCCUGUGUGUUCGUCGUCUCUUUCUGCCUUGUUCAUCCGGCCAGAGCCGCCGCUCUCGUGUCUCCCGUGCCGGAGUUAAGCGACAGGGGAAGAGGGAUCGACGAUGGCGCAACAGAGGAGAUGGAGUAGUGUGCUCCUGCCGCCGUGCGACCUCAUCCUUCCUCCACUCCGACCCGAUCUGCAGGGGUGGACGUAUGGAUCGAUUGGUAGCCUCCUGAAAGCUAGACAGAUCUGAACCAAGAACUUCAAUAAGAAUGUAUAUACCAAUUCCUUUUAUAAUCUUGAAUGCUUCUCAGGCCUACAAAACUGCAACCCACGUUUCGUUUUGGAAACAAUAUUUUGUACAAAUCUGUUUUCUUUAUGUAUUUAGAAUAAUACUCAAGAAGCUCAUGUAGUUUGAUAUAUUGUUCUCUCUUGAGCCGUUUUGAUUUACAGUCUCUUGUGAAUUGCAGGUAGGGGAAGAGUAUCUUCCCUCAGCUGUCUAUAAGUAGGUUGUGUGAUGUUGGUGCAGUUUCAACCUUCUGGAAAAAGUAAAUGUUGUGUUGUGUGUGUCGAAACAUCAACCGCAGCUCAAGCUGCUUUGCUUAUCCAGACUGUGAACACAAGCAAAGCAAGCUGUUUUCUGUUUUUUUUCGGUCUUUCAGCGGAAAUGUUUUUUUCCUAUCAAGGUUGAACGUUUACUAGGAAAGUAGUAGCACAUUAUGCGGAUGCAAUUUUGAAUAGUUAAAACCUGAAAUUAUACAUUUUCAAGUCCUUAGGAACUAUAAGGGCCUUAGUAUGGUUGAGUUCUUUUUUGUAAGUGUACUCUGUAUGUUGGUGACUUAUUUUUUUAAUUGAUUCUUCUUUUGCGAAAUUUAGCAAAAAUAAAAGAACAAAGAAAAAUUGUUUAGCUAGAUAGGCAAAGCCGAUGAUGUUUACUUGUUGUUUGCUGUAGACCCUUGAUGGGCCAUGCUUUUCGCUGUUUUUCGCGUUCCUGGACUGUAAGAAAUCUUGCAGAUGUGCUCUCUAUUUUCCUGUUACUUUCUCCGCCACUCACAUUUAAAUUUGCUAAUAUAUUAGUUUUCAAACAUGACAUGUACAUAUCCGAGGAUGAAGAGAAGAAGAAGAAUUAGGAUUGUCAAUUGUGUAUUUGCGAUUGUACAGAUCCGAGGUCUGUGCGAUUGGCGUCGAUGGAACCAUGAGAGGAGCAGUGGCAUAUUCGAAGAGUUUAAAUGGCAUGGUUUGAGGACAUCCAAUGUUAUUCAUGACCUCAAGGACUUCCUGAAAAGUGCUAAUGCGUAUAUACAUUUCGUUCCUGAAAUCGAGAGGGCUGAUUCAACUCCAAACCUGCGGUCAAUUGUUGCUGCUUUGGAUGGGGUAAGGCCCUUAGCAUUGCCUGUAUUGUUUUCAUUCAUAUUAAAUCAAGUAGCAACUUCUUCCCACAUGGAAAUUACCUUAGGUAGCCUGUUUCAUGAUAAGUAAGGUUAAGUAAUGAUUUAUUGAGGAGCUUUGGUUGCGGCGGUGCUGAGCGGCUGCGCACCUCCAGCGAAACGGUGCUGGAUUGAUAUGUGCUCCUCUGCCAGUCUUCCUCGCGCUGCAGUUUAUUCCUCCUUGCUGCACCUGAGGAGAUGGUCAGCAGGGCAAAGAUAUAUAUGGUGAUGAAGCUUGUCAUGGGGGACAAAACUUUCCACAAAAUUAUGAAUUGCCAUGGAGGCUUGGCAGAAGCAGAUUAGCUGUUUUCUCUAUUAUAUCAGGUGGCACUUGGCUUCUCAUGAAUCACUCAUCAUUUGCCUGAACAAUGGUUAUUGUACACUUUUGCUAGAGCUAUGGAGAUCAGGACUGGAUUUGUUUAUUGUUUAUGCUUCGCGAGGAAUUACAGCUAUGGACCAGUAGAUGAAUUGCCAUGGAGGCUUGGCAGAAACAGCAGUUCCCUUGGCAGUGGCUGCGAGGGGUGUGGCUUGCUGAAGAAAUGGGCUUUUUUUGUAGCUCCAGGUAUACAUGCUCAUAAGCAAGAUGAUUUUCAUUUAUUUAUUUUUGGUUUGAUGCUUCAUUCGCCGCCCAAGCCAACUAAUACACAUGAACAACCUGUAGUUCAGGUACAUGAUUCUCCUCUGAAAUCCACUGUAACUCAAGAGGAUGUGUUCAAGUUUUGUCCGCCAUUUUCAUGGUUGCCAACAUGUGUUUAUUGUCCCAAUUGCAUAGCGAGGUGCUAAUGAUACCUCCUCUGUGUCAUGAAGGUCAAUUUAUUCUUUUGUUUCACAUAUUUGUUGUUUUUGUAACAAGAAUCUCCAGUUAAUUACAUAGUUGUUGUUUCACAUAAUGCCAAAGUGAGAACGAGUAGCAGUGCACUUUCAGGUCGAGUUCUAAAAAGAAUGAGUACAAGUUGAAUGAUACCUCAAUGCAAAUGAGUUGGGCCAACAACGCAAGAAUAUCGAUUCCUUACAAUAAUUUAGUCUUGGCUGUAUGAGGUGUAGCCACUAGCGAUGCAAUUUCAUCUGAAGUAGUCAACGAGGCCUUUCUAUUCUCUGAUUUGCAGCAAAGUGGGACUCCAAGUAUGCAACCAGAAUAGAAAUUAGGCAUGGAUCAACAGUUUUGUUGGGCAUCCCUUGCAUUUUCCUUGUUAGGUUCCAUUCUUCAAAGCAUGUGGGAAAGCGUAGCAGUACACUGCAGUUCACAAUGUCAUUUGAUAGCGGAUAGGGUAUUUUGUUUCCAUUACGAACUGAUAAUGAUUAAGAGCAUAGUAAGGUAACAAUAAUCUGUGUUAUAGCAGUAUAUAGAUGUAGUGUGCUUGUCUGAAUAUAAUGCAGAGUUUAGAAAUGAACUAAAAUCUGAGAGCAGGAAGUAAUAGGCUUAUUGUCCAGCUAGAAAAAUAUUUGUACUAUAUUAUCAUGUAUUCAGGUAAUCCCUUGUAUUUUUUUUGCCAGGUUCAUGUUUUAUAUAUUGUCUAUACACCCACAUAAACUAAAGUUUGUAGAGUCAGCAGUAAACAGGGGCACAACUUAGUAUGGGUAAAAAAAUAAGAGCUUGUGAAAAGAACAGUAUCUCUAUUACAGGAUAAGAAUGACUCUUUAGUUUUAUGCUGAUGUGUGAAAGCACCCCAUUAUCAUGCAAAUAGUAUCAGGUUGAGAGCCUUGAUUAUGGCGGCUAUAAACCCAAAAAAAUCCAUAUUAUUAUUUAGUAUACAAAGCUCUGGGAAUGACUACAAUUAGAAUUCUAGCUGCCGGUAUAUAUCUGAUUGGUCCCAGAUUGAAAAUCUCAAUUGUCAGGACUUGCUUGUAUGCAUUCCUAAAUAGUGUAAAACUGAAGCUUGCUGCUCGUGAGGUGUCAGCCAUAAACAUGUAUUACGACCAUUUUUUAUCCGGUGAAGUGCCUAAAAAAUAGAGUUUGCUAAAAAAAGUGCCUAAAAUUCAGUGACUAUAGCUUUCCACUUUAUCUCAUAAACUGGAUGGCAAAAUAGAGUUUGCCCAUUUCAUAUCUAUGUUGUCUUAUUAGGAAAAUAGAGUUUGUUUUAUAACUGAUGCUUAAUAUGUUUCAUCGACUGGUGAAUGCUCAACUUUGGCUCAUAAACUGCAUGGCAAAUGCUAAUUCUGAUGGGGCUUUUGCCACUUUCUUGUUUUAUGGUUGCCUAGACAGCCGAUGGCAUGCUUCUUUCUGCGAAUUGUCAAUUCUUUUGUAGAGGGUCCCUCGGCUACUUAUGCUUUGCUAGACAAUGAGAGUAUGUAGAUAGCAUGUAUGGUUUUUACAUUGUUUUGCGCAGGUUGAGAUGCAUCACAUGAUGUUUUCCUUUUACAUUUAUGAGUAUUACAGAGUCCUUUCUUUUUCCACAAGGGGCAGUAGCUGUGCCAUUUGAUUCGAAGGACAAAGAGUUGAUCACAAAGGGGUAACAUUCAGGAUAUAUACACAAAAGAGUAUAGAACCAAAUUAUAUGAUGUAAUUGACUACUAUUUCUAUUAACUUCUCCUGUACACAAUGUUCAUGAGUUCAUGUAUUAAGUACAUUUUAUUGUGUCA